rnacentral:rRNA from 1 species
AUUGAACGCUGGCGGCAUGCCUAACACAUGCAAGUCGAACGGCAGCACAGCAGUAGCAAUACUGUGGGUGGCGAGUGGCGGACGGGUGAGGAAUACGUCGGAAUCUGCCCAGUCGUGGGGGAUAACUAGCCGAAAGGUUAGCUAAUACCGCAUACGACCGAGAGGUGAAAGCGGGGGACCGCAAGGCCUCGCGCGAUUGGAUGAGCCGACGUCGGAUUAGCUAGUUGGCGGGGUAAAGGCCCACCAAGGCGACGAUCCGUAGCUGGUCUGAGAGGAUGAUCAGCCACACUGGAACUGAGACACGGUCCAGACUCCUACGGGAGGCAGCAGUGGGGAAUAUUGGACAAUGGGCGCAAGCCUGAUCCAGCAAUGCCGCGUGUGUGAAGAAGGCCUC